ensembl:misc_RNA 7SK 7SK RNA
GGAUGAGAGGGUGAUCUGGCUUUGACAUCUGUCACCCCACUGAUCGCCAGGGUUGCUUGGCUGCUCUGGCUGGCUGGGCAGGUGUCCCCUCCCUCCCUCACCACUCCACAUGGUGCUGAAGCUGCUCGCUGGGUCCAAGAGGAAGACUUUCUUCAGUCAAGGGUAUAUGAGUAGCUGUAGUUCCCUGCUAGAACCUCCAAACAAGCUUUAAAGAUCUGUUUGUAGGAGAACAUCGGGUAGUCAAUCUUCCAAGAUUCUAGACACAUCCAGAUGAAGUGCCACAUGCAUGUGACAGUCUGAUUCUCU